rnacentral:rRNA from 5 species
GAGGGCACGUCUGUCUGGGCGUCA